rnacentral:rRNA from 1 species
CACCUCUAGCAUUUCCAGUAUUAGAGGCACUGCCUGCCCAGUGACAUCUGUUUAAACGGCCGCGGUAUCCUAACCGUGCAAAGGUAGCAUAAUCACUUGUUCCCUAAAUAGGGACUUGUAUGAAUGGCCACAUGAGGGUUUUACUGUCUCUUACUUCCAAUCAGUGAAAUUGACCUUCCCGUGAAGAGGCGGGAAUGACUAAAUAAGACGAGAAGACCCUAUGGAGCUUUAAUUAACUGAUUCACAAAAAACAACACACAAACCUAACCUUCAGGGACAACAAAACUUUUGAUUGAAUCAGCAAUUUCGGUUGGGGUGACCUCGGAGAACAAAACAACCUCCGAGUGAUUUAAAUCCAGACUAACCAGUCAAAAUAUAUAAUCACUUAUUGAUCCAAACCAUUGAUCAACGGAACAAGUUACCCUAGGGAUAACAGCGCAAUCCUAUUCCAGAGUCCAUAUCGACAAUUAGGGUUUACGACCUCGAUGUUGGAUCAAGACAUCCUAAUGGUGCAACCGCUAUUAAGGGUUCGUUUGUUCAACGAUUAAAGUCUU